rnacentral:rRNA from 1 species
GCUGGCGGCAGGCCUAACACAUGCAAGUCGAGUCGAGUACCUUCGGGUCUAGCGGCGGACGGGUUAGUAACGCGUGGGAAUAUACCCUUCACUACGGAAUAGCCUCGGGAAACUGGGAGUAAUACCGUAUACGCCCUUCGGGGGAAAGAUUUAUCGGUGAAGGAUUAGCCCGCGUCUGAUUAGAUAGUUGGUGGGGUAAUGGCCUACCAAGUCUACGAUCAGUAGCUGGUUUGAGAGGAUGAUCAGCAACACUGGGACUGAGACACGGCCCAGACUCCUACGGGAGGCAGCAGUGGGGAAUCUUAGACAAUGGGCGCAAGCCUGAUCUAGCCAUGCCGCGUGAGUGACGAAG